CUGGUCAUGUGAUGAAUGAACUAAAUCACCAUCUUUCGGCUGAUUUUAUGAUGUAUAUGUUCUCUUCUGACCCAG